GAUGAACGCUGGCGGCGUGCCUAAUACAUGCAAGUCGAGCGAAUGGAUUAAAAGCUUGCUCUUAUGAAGUUAGCGGCGGACGGGUGAGUAACACGUGGGUAACCUGCCCAUAAGACUGGGAUAACUCCGGGAAACCGGGGCUAAUACCGGAUAACAUUUUGAACCGCAUGGUUCGAAAUUGAAAGGCGGCUUCGGCUGUCACUUAUGGAUGGACACGCGUCGUAUUAGCUAGUUGGUGAGGUAGCGGCGCACCAAGGCAACGAUGCGUAGCCGACCUGGGGGGGUGAUCGGCCACACGGGGACUGAGACACGGCCCAGACUCCUACGGGGGGCAGCAGUAGGGAAUCUUCCGCAAUGGACGAAAGUCUGACGGAGCAACGCCGCGUGAGUGAUGAAGGCUUCCGGGUCGUAAAACUCUGUUGUUAGGGAAGAACAAGUGCUAGUUGAAUAAGCUGGCACCUUGACGGUACCUAACCAGAAAGCCACGGCUAACUACGUGCCAGCCGCCGCCGUAA
rnacentral:rRNA from 1 species